rnacentral:rRNA from 1 species
AUUGAACGCUGGCGGCAGGCCUAACACAUGCAAGUCGAGUGGAUGAAGGGAGCUUGCUCCUGGAUUCAGCGGCGGACGGGUGAGUAAUGCCUAGGAAUCUGCCUGGUAGUGGGGGAUAACGUCCGGAAACGGGCGCUAAUACCGCAUACGUCCUGAGGGAGAAAGUGGGGGAUCUUCGGACCUCACGCUAUCAGAUGAGCCUAGGUCGGAUUAGCUAGUUGGUGGGGUAAAGGCCUACCAAGGCGACGAUCCGUAACUGGUCUGAGAGGAUGAUCAGUCACACUGGAACUGAGACACGGUCGAGACUCCUACGGGAGGCAGCAGUGGGGAAUAUUGGACAAUGGGCGAAAGCCUGAUCCAGCCAUGCCGCGUGUGUGAAGAAGGUCUUCGGAUUGUAAAGCACUUUAAGUUGGGAGGAAGGGCAGUAAGUUAAUACCUUGCUGUUUUGACGUUACCAACAGAAUAAGCACCGGCUAACUUCGUG